GUCCGAGUAGGCAAGUGGUUUAAGCCCCCUGACUUUCUAUCAGGUAAUCGUGGGUUCGAAUCCCACCUCGGAUACCA
rnacentral:tRNA from 1 species